GCUUCAACAACUUUGAUUGACAUUAGUGAUUACUUAGAUUGCAAGUCUCUGUCAAUAAAUUUUGGAAGACGUCACUUGGUAGCGGAACUGACAAAUUUAUUACAGAAAAACAACAGAAUUGAACUACUGCAAGAAUGAUCGAGGUUAGCUAGUAUCCGUAUUAAGUGACCUCAGUAAUAUACCUAUGUUGUAACACAAAAUACAGAAGCUGGACAGGUUGUGAUUUUGUAAAAGAUUAGAAAACAGGGGCACACUACAUUCAAGCAUUAUUAACCACAUUUAGCAGUGAUUCGUGUGGCCUCACCAAAUCAGUCGAUCUCUGACAACAAACUAAACAUUAAAUCAGCCACUAUGCAGUGAAUAAAACUGAAAGUGUGAAAAGUGUAUCACCACCAUACAACCUGAGAUGGUACGAGAGCUACUACAUAUACAUGUAAAGUGUGGAGCAACCCGGAGGAGAGUUAAGCAGAGACAUCCGAGUAACUUCUCCAUUACUCAGCAACGUUGGUGAGUUUGCAUGUGUUAGGUUACGGGUAUUUCCCUCGGACUCCUUUAUCAUGUGGCGUGGCGGUAACAAUUGUUACACAAAUCUUCGAUAUUUUAGCUGCAUGGAUAGGCUCAUUCAUGAUCGCAACGGUGCUUGAGUUUAAGUUAAAUAAUUUUUUUUUUUUCGUUUGAUCCAGCUGACUUACUUUACCAUAGUCACUCAAAGUUAGAAAUUUUACACGUUGCUGACAAUGGAAUGAGCAUCGCGACAGUUUACCAUCACUUACUUGACAUUCACGAGAACAAAUUGUGUUCAGCUAGAGCUAUAAUAAUCUACCUGUAUUUGAAUUUUCCAAUGAUGACGUUUAAGUGGUCGAUAAAUCUGAGGUUAGACAUAUUCCAAUGGUUGUUUAAUCACAAGAUUUCAAAGUCUGAUAGAAUGUAACGUAAUCAAUUUGCUUGAUAUAUCUUGAAUCACUUUCAAUUUUUGAGUGCCCAGCAACUAUCCAACAACUACAGGCUUAGCUCGCUUAGAAAAAUGCUGAAUAGCAUUUAGGAUGUUUCUAAUCUAUCUUACAAAAGGUUGAUGUACCGAUAGUCAGCCGGCAAUCACCAAAAUAGUAUCUUCACUGACUAUGGUACAAAAACAUUUUACUCCCCACAGAUAAUCAACGAAAAAGUAAGUCACCGUGGCCACGGCGCAAAUGAGGAAGAAUGAUGUGUGUUAAAAAGAAUGGAGAAUCGUUCAGAGCGAAUAUAGGUAAUUGGGUAGGUAGGUGGUCGUUUUGGGAUCCGUCGCGGGAUUUAAUUUGGAUGUUCGUGUGAAUCUCUUGAACAUUUCCGUUGGGUGGUUUUGUUGGGAAUUAGGCGAGGGUAAGAAGGUCACGAUGUACCGCGAUGUUACUAACUUUUAUAAUCCACAGCGUCAAAUGAUCACAGUGAUUUUCCUCCAGAAUCACGUAAAAGACUCGGUAUAAGAGUCUCCGAACUAUUGGUAAGCUUUUAAAUUUUAACGAGAUUCAAUUUCGUAUUUUUUUUCACUCUGCAAUCGUUUUCCAGUCGUUAUUCAGUUUAAUUAUUCAGUCAUUAUCGAUCAUUAUUUAAUUCAAUUGAUCUCUGUGAUUGUUUGAAUGGGCAAAAUGCAUCUCUGGACCAUCUAUCGCGUUCCGUGGUACGCUAGAUGGGGAGAGAUGCUGAGCUCGAAGACGUCGCGUCGAAGAGGAACGCCGACCGUCACGCCACGCAAUAAUGCAUGUCCUCCAACCUCCCUCCCGGACUUGACUCGCAUCUGAGAACAACAAUCUGCAUCGCAAUGUGUCGAAUUUGAAAAGACGCAGAUGCCCAUUGGAUUUCUUCAGAAUUUUGCGACAAGUCCUAGAUAUUUAAGGUUUUUUGACAGAUUAAUCGGUCGCGCUUUUUUGCGCGUAGAUUAAUCACGGAAUUCAAACGCGCCUUUUGCGCGAUGAUUAAUCACGUGAUUCAAACGCGUCUUUUGCGCGAUGAUUGAUAAUAAGGGUGGUGAUAGACCGGGAAAACCGGGAAUUUUUUGACGGAAAAAGUUGGGGAAAAGUUAUAGAAUUAUAUUUGAGCAAAAUUGUCACCACUCUGAUAAUGCGAAUUGAUCGAUCGUGCUUUUUGCUAGCGAUUUCGUAAACGGUAUAUGAAAAAGUUGAGCACUUCCGAUGUGUUAAGCCUUCAGCUUUUCAAUCAAUUCUCUUUUCAACAACUGAGUGUUCAAGUUUAAAUCGACUGCGCCUUUUGCGCGUUGACUUGAUACCCUUUGGUCCUAAGAGAAAGUGCGGCACUUGCAAGCCAACAGUCAAUUCACGGGGAUAAAAAUCGCGGAGUGUAUAGUGAUAGUGAAGAACUUUGUAAGUAUUUAUAAAACAUAUAUGAAGUGUACAAAUGUAUUUUUUUUUAGUGAUUGUCUUAUUUUCUGUUUCAGGGCGACGAACAA